GACAGAGGAUGCAAGCGUUAUCCGGAAUGAUUGGGCGUAAAGCGUCUGUAGGUGGCUUUUUAAGUCCGCCGUCAAAUCCCAGGGCUCAACCCUGGACAGGCGGUGGAAACUACCAAGCUGGAGGACGGUAGAGGGGGUGGAAUUCCCGGUGUAGUGGUGAAAUGCGUAGAGAUCGGGAGGAACACCUGUGGCGAAGGCGGCGAUCUGGGAAGAUACUGACGCUGAGGUGCGAAAGCGUGGGGAGCAAACAGG
rnacentral:rRNA from 1 species